rnacentral:lncRNA from 1 species
CCUGUAGUUGCUACACUCAAAUGCCAUGAGCAAGAAACCAUCCUAGGAUUCACAACCCUUCUCCUGUACUUCAGAGUCCCAGCCUUCACACUACAGAGUACAGCAUCUACGGUCUCGUCUUUCUUUGGUGCACAGCAGCGCAUAACCUGAACCGGCUCACAAAACCAAAACGCAGGCCCUGGUUGAGCUGUAAUCUCCUGACUCUCUGCAGUGUGGGGUGGAAUUCUGCCCACUGGAUGAUCACUGCUGAUUGUCUGUGAAGAACUGUUACUUCUGUCUGAUAGCAAUAUUCUUCAGGAGGUAUUCUAUUUGUAAUAUACCAUCAGUCCACAAAAGCAGACUACUGCUUUUUUGGUUUUUCA